AACCGCAUGGUUCCUAUUGUAGCUGAAAAAACUUAUUUUUUGACACAUUAUCUUCUUUGGUAAUUAUGCUCCUCAUUUUGUAAUUACGUUGCUUCUUUAGAUAAUGUUGAGUAGUAUGCUUAGCUUUUCUACAAUAUAAACACAAAUCCUCUUGGCAAUAUCAAAUCUUUUUUUGCUCUAUGAAAAAAUUAAAACAUAUUGUAUCAAUUUGCAUUAGU
rnacentral:lncRNA from 1 species